rnacentral:rRNA from 1 species
UACAGAGGGUGCAAGCGUUGUCCGGAAUUAUUGGGCGUAAAGAGCUCGUAGGCGGUCUGUCGCGUCGGCUGUGAAAUCCCGAGGCUCAACCUCGGGUCUGCAGUCGAUACGGGCAAACUGGAGUGUUGCAGGGGAGACUGGAAUUCCUGGUGUAGCGGUGAAAUGCGCAGAUAUCAGGAGGAACACCGGUGGCGAAGGCGGGUCUCUGGGCAACAACUGACGCUGAGGAGCGAAAGCGUGGGGAGCGAACAGG